UACGGAGGGUGCGAGCGUUGUUCGGAAUUACUGGGCGUAAAGGGCUCGUAGGCGGCCAACUAAGUCAGACGUGAAAUCCCUCGGCUUAACCGGGGAACUGCGUCUGAUACUGGAUGGCUUGAGUUUGGGAGAGGGAUGCGGAAUUCCAGGUGUAGCGGUGAAAUGCGUAGAUAUCUGGAGGAACACCGGUGGCGAAGGCGGCAUCCUGGACCAACACUGACGCUGAGGAGCGAAAGCCAGGGGAGCAAACGGGG
rnacentral:rRNA from 1 species